UACGAAGGGGGCUAGCGUUGUUCGGAAUUACUGGGCGUAAAGCGCACGUAGGCGGAUCGAUCAGUCAGGGGUGAAAUCCCAGAGCUCAACUCUGGAACUGCCUUUGAUACUGUCGAUCUAGAGUAUGGAAGAGGUGAGUGGAAUUCCGAGUGUAGAGGUGAAAUUCGUAGAUAUUCGCAAGAACACCAGUGGCGAAGGCGGCUCACUGGCCCGGUACUGACGCUGAGGUGCGAAAGCGUGGGGAGCAAACAGG
rnacentral:rRNA from 1 species